UUCAUCACAUUUACUUUGAUUAAAAAAGGACUAAACUUUAUUGACAAACUGCUGCAGACAUUUUGACAUAAGUUUAAGCUACCUAUUUAGGCAGACUUACACAUGUAGCAUUUAAUCUUCAGAGAACAAAAUGGGAGGACGGUACAAAUCCAAUUAGGACUUUAACUUAUGUACAAAGUGGAUUUUGAUUCCUUUUUCAUUCAGCUGCAGUGUCCCUUUUUAUAUCAUGCUAGUGUUGAGACAUACUUGACUAUCUUGGGAACAGUUCAAUAUUGACAACCGUCAACUUACUGAAAAACUUCAGCUUUUGGCCCCAAUGUCCAAGUGAGCUUUAUGUGGAGUGCAGAAUCUCAAAUGGACAAAAUACUUUUUUGUCUUCCUGAAUACUGAAACUUUAAUUAUUAGUACUCUUACUGAAAGAUUGUGGCUAAAAAACACUACAUCAAAUUAAAUUUAGAUGGCCAGCCCCUCUGCCCCAAUCAACCUCUUCAAAACUUACUCCCCCUAAGUAUCUCUCAACACUGUAUGCCUGGGGCUAGAUUUCAAAACCCACAUAAUGAAAAAGUCAGUUUUACAAACCUAAUUUUGUUGUUGUUGUUUUAAGUCAAUUAACGUUAAUAAUUGCAUCAACUAUUUAAUUCAUGAGGAUCUUUCAUAUUAAAAUUUAACUUAAGAUUCAAUCGCCAUGUGUUUUUAAAGGAAACAUUUUUAGAGACGUCUGAGCUCACUUUUGCAUGGUGGCACCUACUGCCGUUAACGUUUGUGAUUUUAAAUCUUAAACAGCCCUGAAUUUUGAAAUGUAGCCUAGUUUGGGAUUCUGCAACUACAACUUUACGGGAUGCCUCAAAUCAAAACUAAGAGAAAGUUAACAAGCCUUACUUCAGAACCUUUAAGCAAGCAAUGUCACUUUUGAAACUAACAGGUUUGUGGUUUUUUUUUUUUUUUACUCAACUUUUUUUUAUUAUAAAAGGUACAUUUCUGUUUAUAUUUAAACAACAAAGAAAAAAGCAUCUACACACUUAAAAAAUUAAUUCGAUAUUCCUAAAUCUAUUUUAACUCAUUUUAAAAUACUACAUACAGAAGCCAGAAUGCAGAGUUAAGAAUGGAGGAAGGUGGGGAGAAGAAGGGGACCACGAAGAAAAACACUUAGACAAUUACUUGUCUGUUGUGGGUAAAGCAACAGGAAUCCUGGGAGAUACAAGAAAUCAGUAACAACUUUGCUCAUAAUUGAUAUUUUUCCCCUCCUGUUUGAUUUUAAUAACGUCCAUAUGGGUGCUCUCUGUAUGCUCCCUUCACUGGCCUAGCUGGAGGGGCCUUCAGUGACGGCCUGGUCCCAUUCCAGUCAUCUUGGCCUGUGGGAAAAGCGAAGACAGUUUAUAAACCAUGUGUCAAUGGCAUCUGGGGAUAAGCAAGGGUAGGUCAACCUGGUAAAUAUCACCAACAACACUGCUUUUCUUUCAGUGUCUUCAUACCUCAUUGGAGGUCCUUGUUCUCCACUCCAAACCUCCUGAACAGUCUGGACUAUUUCCCACAGUUUUGAGUGGAAAGACAAAAGGGAACAACUCAUAAAAGGCUGGCAUU
rnacentral:lncRNA from 1 species